rnacentral:rRNA from 1 species
AGCGGCCGCGGUAAUUCCAGCUCCAAUAGCGUAUAUUAAAGUUGCUGCAGUUAAAAAGCUCGUAGUUGAAUUUCGGGACCAUCAUGUCGGUCGUGCCUCGGUACGUACUGGCAUUGUUGGUUUCUACCUUCUGACGAACCAUGAUGUCAUUUAUUUGGUGUCGUGGGAAAUCAGGACUGUUACUUUGAAAAAUUAGAGUGUUUAAAGCAGGCUCACGCUUGAAUACAUUAGCAUGGAAUAAUGAAAUAGGACGUUUGAUUCUAUUUUGUUGGUUUCUAGGAUCGACGUAAUGAUUAAUAGGGAUAGUUGGGGGCAUUAGUAUUCAAUUGUCAGAGGUGAAAUUCUUGGAUUUAUUGAAGACUAACUACUGCGAAAGCAUUUGCCAAGGAUGUUUUCAUUAAUCAAGAACGAAAGUUAGGGGAUCGAAGACGAUCAGAUACCGUCGUAGUCUUAACCAUAAACUAUGCCGACUAGGGAUCGGAUGAUGUUAAUUUUUAAUGACUCAUUCGGCGUCCG